rnacentral:sRNA from 1 species
GAAGAUGCUGAAUAUGAGAUGUGUGUUCGCUGGAUGCAGCUGGGGGCCUUUUACCCCUUCUCAAGAAACCACAACACCAUUGGGACCAGGAGACAAGACCCUGUGUCCUGGGAUGUUGCUUUUGUGAACAUUUCCAGAACUGUCCUGCAGACCAGAUACACCUUGUUGCCAUAUCUGUAUACCUUGAUGCAUAAGGCCCACACGGAGGGCAUCACUGUUGUGCGGCCUCUGCUCCAUGAGUGAGUGUCCAGCAGGGAUCCCAAUGCCUAAUGGGUGACUUAUUACAUUCUAUAUGGUGACAGUUGAAUUCUUCCAAAUUAAAGACAUGAUUGCCUUUUGACAUGAGCUCUUCAGGCGCAGACCAUACUUUAUUACUCUCUUUAGCACAGUGCCAUACAUGCCUUAGGUCAUUAAUAAAAGGCUAUUGAUUGAAUGAGCAAAACUGAAAUGAUGCAGUAUAGCAUAGAAUAAUUUCUUUCUAAUUUGGCUGUGCAAAGGCCUAUGUAUCUUUUGUAGCAGUUUGGUUAUGUGUAGCC